GAAUUAAGACAAAACGCUAAGAAAAUUCAAAGCAUGUCCAAUUUGAUGCGGUUAACUAUUCAUAAUCAAUAAACAGUUUGCUCCAUGGACAUUAACUUAUUACUUAGGGAAAAGGAUGUGUUGAGAUUAAUAUGCACUAAUGCAUUGUGUCACCAUUUUCUUGAUGCAUCAAGCUUAGAAGAUACUGAGGUCAUCAGUGAGUCUUGCAUUCAAGUUUGUUGUCUUUCAAAAUUAGGACACUGUACAU